CUUUAAUUUACAGUUUAUUUUAUCUGAUGUCUCCAGCCCUGUCAUUGCAUUUUCAGAUUUCUAUUCUGAACUCUAAGUGUCUCUGGAUUACACAGCCGGCUAUAAUUUACCAGUUUAUUUAUUCUGACCUAUCCCACCACUGUUAUUGCAUUAUCAGAUUUCUAUCCUGUGCUCUUAGUGUCUCUGAAUUACGCAGCCUGGUUUAAUUUAUCAGUUUAUUUUAUCUGAGUUCUCCAGCGCUGUCGUUGCAUUUUCAGGGUUCUAUUCUGAGUUCUCAGUGAUUCUGGAUCAGGCAGCCUACUUUAAUUUAAUAGUUUAUUUUAUCUGAGGUCUCCAGCGCGGUCCGUGCAUUUUCAGAGUUCUAUUCUGAGCUCUCAGUGUCUCUGGAUUACGCAACCAGCUUUAAUUUAUCAGUUUAUUUUAACUGAUAUCUCAGGCGCUGUUGUUGCAUUUUCAGGUUUCUGUUCUGAGCUUUAAGUGUCUCUGGAUCGCGAAGCCUGCUUUUAUUUACAAUUUAUUUAAUUGUACGUCUCCAGAGCUGUCGUUGCAUUUUCAGGUUUCUGUUCUGAGCUCUCAGUGUCUCUGGAUCACGCAGUGUGCUUUAAUUUAUCAGUUUAUUUUAUCUGAGGUAUCCAGCACUGUGGUUUCAUUUUCAGGUUUCUAUUCUGAGCUCUAAGUGUCUCUGGAUUAUGCAGCCUGCUUUAAUUUAUCAGUUUAUUUUAACUGAUGUCUCAGGCGCUGUUGUUGCAUUUUCAGGUUUCUAUUCUGAGCUCUCAGUUUCUCUGGAUUACGCAACCUGCUUUAAUUUACAGUUUAAUUUAUCUGAGGUGUCCAGCGCUGUCGUUGCAUUUCAGGUUUCUGUUCUGAGCUUGAAGUGUCUCUGGAUCACCAGGCCUGCUCUUAUUUAAAAAUUUAUUUAAUUGGACGUCUCCAGAGCUGUGGUUGCAUUUUCAGGUUUCUGUUCUGAGCUGUCAGUGUCUCUGGAUCACGCAGCCUGCUUUAAUGCACAGUUUAUUUUAUCUGAAGUCUCCAGCGCUGUCGUUGCAUUUUCAGGUUUCUGUCCUGAGCACUCAGUGUCUCUGAAUUGCGCAGCCUGCUUUAAUUUAUCAGUUUAGUUUAUCUGAUGUCUCCAGGUCUGUGGUUUCAUUUUCGGGUUUCUGUUCUAAGCUCUCAGUGUCUCUGGAAUAUGCAGCCUGCUUUAAUUUACAGUUCAUUUUAUCUGAUGUCUCCCAUGGCUGUCGUUGCAUUUUCAGGUUUCUGUUCUAAGCUCUCAGUGUCUCUGGAAUAUGCAGCCUGCUUUAAUUUACAGUUUAUUUGAUCUGAAGUCUCCCAAUGCUGUCUUUGCAUUUUCAGGUUUCUAUUCUGAGCUCUCAGGGUCACUGGAUCAUGCAACC
rnacentral:lncRNA from 1 species